rnacentral:snoRNA from 1 species
GCGCCCGAACAGGGCGCGACAAAGCCCAGGUGCCAAGACGGCGGCGUCGGGGGGAACGGGUGCAAAGCACCCAGUAUGAACCCCGCCCUCCAACCAUGGGCACA